UGGGCGGUGGCUGAGGGGGCGGGCGGCCCGGGCGGCGCCGCGUCUCCGUCCUUAUAAGGGAUUCAAGUCAGCCCAGCCAUUUGGAAUGUGGCGGGGGCCGGGAGGCGGUGCUGGGACCCCCGCCCUGCUCGCGGAUUCCGGCGGGGGAAGGGGGGCAGAGCCCGGGCGCCGGGUCGCAGGAGGAGAAGCCUGCACGUUCGAAUUUCUGGGUCCUUCAAAAUGUGAGUUCUGGGUCCCCAUAAAGUGGGCCGGGAGCCUGGACCCCCCCCCCCACAAGAGCGUCUCUAAGAGAGGAGUGGCUGUGUACCCGGACCCCUGGGUUCGCCUUGCGGACGCCUCCCGCCCCGCGGCGGGAAACUGUGCACAGUAUUGGAAUCCAGUCCAGAGAGAGUGGCCACACCUCCCAGCACCUCCCGUAAGGCUGGUCUCCCAGGUACAGCUGGACCUCCCGGGCCACCUCCCGCUUCCCCCGACCCGUUAGGAGGAAGUUGGGACAGGCCCAGGAGGCAGAGGGCGGGCCACAGUCAGUUAAGUCUCCCCUGGAAGGUAAGUUAGCGCACGGACCACCCGGAGAGGAGGAGUCCGUCUCCACUCUCAGAGCCCCCAGCCGUCGCCUGAGGUCAGAGCUCAGGAAAGAACUGCCAGAGACCCGAGGAGGGAGAGGAAAACACCCUUUGGCUUCGUGGAGAAGCUGAGGAUUUCGCUGCCACGCCCAGUCCUCUCCCCACCUCCACGCCAGACACCACACCCCAUCACUCCGCAAACUCAGAAGCGCGCCCUGUGCUGUCAGCACCAAGGGGCCCAGCUCCAUCUUCACUUUGGGACCACGGGUGCUGAAGCUCCAUCUCUGGCCUUUUGAGUCUAAAGUUCGGAUUCUGCCCCCUGGAUGGGGAGGAGGGACUGAAGACAUUUGGAAUCCCUCUGCACCCAAGAAUCCUGGACGCUGCUCCCACUCUAGGGGGGUCCUGCAGCCUCACCUUACGGGCCUGUGGCGGCUGCGGCUGGUGCAAAAGCGACAGCUGCAGACUAGGAAGGUCUGCGGUCUGGGUGCGGUUGGAGGGCCGGGGAGUGAGCGCGGGCAGGGCUGGGGGCGGGGCCGGAGCUCUGGGCUGGAGCCGAGUAAGGGACACCCCCUGCCAGGGCUAUCCCAGUCCCGCCCCGAGGGCGGGGCCAAGAUAAGACCACAUCCCCAGAGAUAAAUACACAGCAGCUCUCCCGCCCCGCCAGCGGUAGGGGUGGAGGGCUGAGGUCACCGUUUCCGUGGUAACAAAACAGGAAGACACAACAGCUGGCGGAGUGGAUGCUCCCGGGGGUGCCCUCCUCGACACAGCACUGGAGGUCUCCAGAGCAGUCCCGGGGAAGGCCGUUGCCAUGGCAACCCGUCUAUUUAGACUUUGUUUAGGACAGAGCCCCCCAGCUCAGGUCCCCACCCCAGUCUCACCUCAAUCCGUUCUCCCUCUCCCUUCCUGGCCCUGCUCUUCCAGGAUGGACGAAAUUUUGGACUUCUAGGUCGCGGUGGGUUGGGGGACUGGGCCUCUCAAUUUAAUGGGGUCUGUUUGCUAGGGUCUGUGUCUCCUGGGUCCCUGAAAUAGGAAAGAGUUGAGGGUGUGCCGAUCCCUAGGCUUUAGGGGGUUUCUGGGCUGAGGUCCCCGACUCCUGGGUCCCCAAAAGAACAGUGGUUCGAUUCCUGUAAGUAAGGAAUUUGAGGGAAGAGCAGAAUGGGUCUCCUAAUGCCCAUUUACACUGGGAUUCGCGGUGUAAGGGACUGAUGGGCCAGACCCCUAGGUCCCAUAUGUCCCUGUCGAUGGGGGCAGGGGAGGGGGGUUGUUGGUAGCAGGACUUCUGAGAUCGAGGCCAUAGGAGUUGAGGGCAUGGACUCCGAGGCCGCGGGCCCAGAAUCUUGGCUCAAAAGAGCAAUUGCGGCUCAGGCUCCUGGGUUUUCGGAGCAGAUGUGGUUGCUAGCCAGGCCUCUUGGGUCUGUAAGGGAGAGAUAUUUUUGGCUUGCAAUCCUGGCUCCUGAAAAGAGGGAGGGGCUCAGAAGCUUAAUGAGGACGAGACUGGGGGCUGGGGGUGCCAGAUUCCUGGUUCCUGCAAGAGGGGAGGGCCCAAGGGGCUGGUCUGCCCGGGCCCCAGAGCACGGGGGUCCUUUUUUAGGGGCGGCUCUGGGGCCCUGAGACGGAUUGACGAGCCAAGAAGCAAGCGGCAGCUGAAGUGUGUGAUACCAGCUGCAUUUCAAAUGCUCAAUGGCCACACAUGGCUCAUGGCUACCAUAUUGGACAAUGCAGGUCUGGAAAAGGUAAUGGUAUAUUUUUCUUUCUUGUAGCAAUCCAAGAGUUGGCAAUCCAAGGUUGAUAUGAUACCUCCACGGUCUCAAGGAGUCAUUCUCCGUUGUUGUGUUGUCACCUUUGACAAGGGCUUGCAUUUGGGCUCUAGCAUAUGACCCAGAUCAAACCACUAUAUUGUCGUUGCAGCCACAGGAAGAGGACAGGGGAAGGGGUUGGCACACUUCUUCCCUUUUAAGUGUGUGAUCCUGCAGCUACACAUAUUCCUUGUGUAUCUUACUGUUCAGAACUUAGUUGCAUGGCCACACAGAGCUGUAAGGGAGACCGGGAAAUACAGUCUUUUUUUUUUUUUAAACACUGCUAUAUUUAAAAUGAAUAACCAACAAGGACCUACUGUAUAGCACAGGGAACUUUGCUAAAUAUUCUGUAACAACCUAAAUGGGAAAGGAUUUGAAAAAGAAUAGAUACAUGUAUAUGUAUAACUGAAUCA